AGUGCAAGCUGACUUGUCGCUGUCCAUUACCGAAUACUUUUGGUCAUGGAGGGAGGAAAGUCCGGGCAACAUAGAGCGCCAUACUUCCUAACGGGAAGGGGUCAGGUUGGCGACGGCCUGAUCACAGACAGUGCCACAGAAAAUAUACCGUCCCGACCCGAUAGUCAUCGGGAUAAGGAUAAGGGUGAAAAGGUGGGGUAAGAGCCCACCGCCCCGAAAGUGAUGGAGGGGGCAAGGCAAACCUUAUGGGUUGAAAGAUCAAAUAGGUCCCGCAAUGAAACCUGGUUUCAUAAAAGGCUGCUCGUCUUUAUGCGGGAUGGGUAGAUCGAUGGAACCUUGGCGUGAGUCAAGGUCUAGAUAAAUGACAAGUUAAUUGUCCAAAUGGAUGGUGAACAGAACCCGGCUUACAGGCUUGCACUUUUU
rnacentral:RNase_P_RNA from 1 species